AGGAAAAUAUUCUCCUUGUUCCUCCAUCUCAAUGAUGUUUGUAUUGCAAUCGCAAAAUACUUAGACUAAGGUUUCGCUAUUUACUUUAAGCUCUGUCAAUACCAUUCUACUGGACAGGAUACAAAAUUUUAGACGAGAACGAGCGAUGCCUGUACGUUGGUCAGGUGAUCCUGCGUCAUCUCCUGUCCUGUGACGUCACUCAGCUAGUUGGCGCGUUGUACGAAAACUUUCUUGUACGGAACAAAGAAACCUCGCUAAUGGCUCGAUGUCAAAAAUUUGCCAGCAACUACCCAUUCGCUGCAAAGAGUUGCCUUGCCGCAGCGGAGUCAACCUGCAGGUCACAUGACACGAUUUUGCUGAAGGUCGUUCGGCUUCCGGUUAGCGGCUUGCAGCCUCUUCUAACCUCGCACCCCGAGUUGAAAAUCAUCUACCUCGUUCGCGACCCUCGGGCAGCCCUGUGGUCCCGAAUCAACGUCCUCAAGCAGCCACAAAGAGAAACUUUAAAAAUUUCGCCCGAGACCUGUGUCUGCGCAUGCGUGACGACGCAUUAAACGCCCUGUUCCUGCUCAAUGCCUCAUCACAGCGCAUCCGGUUCCUGCGCUACGAGGACCUGGCAGCGGACCCCUUGCCGACCUCUGAGCACAUCUACCAGUUUCUGAACCUGACGUGGACCGAGCACAUCCAGCAUCUCGUGCUCAGGCAAACCAAUUUCUCGGCAGGGGGCGCGCAACGGGGAUGUGCCCCCCGGCGAACUUUGACACCCGGAAAGGGAGGCCACCUGCUACCGUUCACUGUCGUUCGAGCAAGUUCGGAAGCAGCUGCGAGAGCAUGGAGAAAGACGAUCCCGUGGGACAUUGUAGAGGGCGUGCAGGCAGUCUGUGACCCCGUGAUGAGCUUGCUGGGUUACGCCCCUUUGCGGACGCUAGAUGAGGUUCGGAAUGACACACUGCCGUGCAUGGUGAAUUUUAAGAUGUUGCACUCCUAUAGAACUCUACACCCUGACUUGGGGAGCAGAGAUAAAUAAAAAUAUUGUUCAUUGCGAUAUUUGAAAUAAUCGAUGAAGGACGUGUGCAUACUUCGCUACCCACUUCCUUAUUUUCGUGGUAUUUUUGUUAGGGUUUUUUUUUUUUGCUGUUGUUGUUGUAGUUAUUUUUUGUUUUUUUGGGGGGUUUUUUGUUUUGUUUUGUUUUGUUUUUUGCAGUCCGUUCUUGUAACGCUGCAAGAAAUUGGAAUGUAGGACAUGGCUUUCAAACUUUGAGAGCAGUCCUUCCUUUCACAGUGUCGUUUUUUUUUUUUUUCUUCUUUGUUUGUAUUUUUGUUGUGUUUGUUUUGGUUUUUUUUUCUUUUGUUUUGUUUUUUGGUUUUGUUUUGUUGGUUUGUUGGUUUGGUUUUUUUUUUACUUCUGUCAUCGCUUUCACAACUUUUGUGUCCCUAUGAGUGCGUCCUUGAGUUAGUAUGAGAAAAAGAGAGAGAGGUGUGUGAGAGAAAUGGAGGAGGAAAAAGGGAAACGUGAAAUAUUAAUGUUGCGUGUAUGUGCGUGCACAACGAGGGGGAUAAUAUGAAUGCGUGUAUGUCAUUGAAAACAUGAAAUAGUAUUUGUGUGUAUACGUGUGUGUGUGUGUGUGAAAAAAGAGAGAGUUCCUGUGCGUAUGUAACCGGUCUAGCCCAUCCGCAGCAAUCGUUCCUAACGCGGUAAAUCAUUCUCACUCCACUUUCUAGGAUGGAAAGAACUUGUUUUAUUUGAUGAACUGAUGCCACAUUAUACUACAACUCAGACAAAGGCAUACUUUCAUUGCCCGCGAAAGAAAAUUUUCCUGACACCAUGUAGAGAUACCAUGAUCCUCAGCUAAACGAGAAACUCUGAUGUCACUUUGCUUCUAUCCUCCCUUUUGUUAACGAACAAACGAUGUAGGUAGAUGUCAGUUAAAACAAUGGACGCUGCACAACAACCAGUGCAUUGCUUGGCAAGUACAAGAAGACAAGGAC
rnacentral:lncRNA from 1 species